AUUAAUUUUUAAUUUUUAAAUAUAUUAUCUUCAUCCUCAUUCUAGUUCCACCACCUGCCACCUCCAACCACCACUGACCGCCAUUCCCGGCCACCACCACCUCCGGCGACCACCGGAAAAUCACCACCGCCGAACAUAAAAUCACCACUGUCAAACAAAAAAUCACCACCGGAAAACAAAAAAUCACUACUUCAAAAAUGAAAAUCACCACCAGGAAACGAAAAUCAACACACCCGGCCAUUAUUCAUGCCCACCAUAUCCACCACUAACUCCGUUCAUCAACUCCGGUCAACAACAUCAUAAAAAUUAUCACCACUUCACCAUCUAGAAACCACCACAAUCAUCUACAAAUCCCCAAAAUCUAAAAAAUCACCGAUUACAAAACAAAAUCACUAGAAAUGAUCACCGACAUAAUAACAAUAAUCACUAAAAACGUCAUCGUUAAUCACCAUCGUUACCAUCCACAGACUAUCACCACUGUCUACAACCCUUUAAAUCUGAAAAAAAUCACCAAUUACAAAAUAAAAUCACUGAAAAUGAACAGAAUUGAAUAAACAGCUAUUUGAUAAUGCUUGAGGUCUCGGAAAAUCGAUUAAAGGAGAUUGUAAUUACCGGAUGGAGGUCGGAGAGUCAUCGGAAUGCUCAGCCGAUUGACUCUCGCCUACGAGAACGAGGAAGAUCAGAGGGGAGGCCGAGAGCGGCGAGGAGACAUAGAGGAAACGAAAGGAGGAUGAGUGUUUGUACAUCAAGGUUGUGCAGCGGGGUUGCGGUGUUGCCGGCGGUGACAACGUCACCGUGACAUCGGCGAUAGCAGCAGCAAAGAAAGGGGAUAUGCGAUUCAUUGUGUGUGUAUAGUCAAGCCCACCGCAUCAGCGGCGAAGAAAGAGAGAAAUGCUGAGCCAUCGGCGGCGAUGGCGGCAACGGAUGGAGGGCGUGGAGUUUUGAUGCGGUGAGAGAAGACACUGGGUAAUGGGUAGGUGGUGAGUAAGAUGGGUGGGUAAAUGAAAACUAUAAAAUAUAAUUUGUGUGGUUGUGAUUUAUUUUAGGGAUAAAAAUGUGUGGCUGAGAUUAGAUCUCAUAUCUCUAAUUAGUUGGGGUUCUCAUUUGAGCACUUGCC
rnacentral:lncRNA from 1 species